UAAGUCCUGAAAUGCGCGGAUAAACCUAUAAUUUUGAACCUACAGAAAAAAAGCGGGAGCUCGGGUUUAUAGGCGGAUGCCAGGCCUCAACAUAAUACCGACACACGGGUUAACCCGAGUGCAACGGCGGGGGAAGGUUGAAGCCUGUAAUAGGGCACCCACCUAGCAUAGGCUAGGUGUCAAAAUAUAGGGGAACGCCAUUUCGGGGUUUAG
rnacentral:other from 1 species